GUGGGGAAUCUUGCGCAAUGGGCGAAAGCCUGACGCAGCCAUGCCGCGUGAAUGAUGAAGGUCUUAGGAUUGUAAAAUUCUUUCACCGGGGACGAUAAUGACGGUACCCGGAGAAGAAGCCCCGGCUAACUUCGUGCCAGCAGCCGCGGUAAUACGAAGGGGGCUAGCGUUGCUCGGAAUUACUGGGCGUAAAGGGAGCGUAGGCGGACAUUUAAGUCAGGGGUGAAAUCCCGGGGCUCAACCUCGGAAUUGCCUUUGAUACUGGGUGUCUUGAGUGUGAGAGAGGUAUGUGGAACUCCGAGUGUAGAGGUGAAAUUCGUAGAUAUUCGGAAGAACACCAGUGGCGAAGGCGACAUACUGGCUCAUUACUGACGCUGAGGCUCGAAAGCGUGGGGAGCAAACAGGAUUAGAAACCCCUGUAGUCC
rnacentral:rRNA from 1 species